rnacentral:tRNA from 1 species
CAGGCCUGUUAAGUACUGAGCUGCAAACUUAGGAAAGAUUAGAAAUAUAGUCCAGGCUUAG